rnacentral:rRNA from 1 species
CACGUAGGGUGCGAGCGUUGUCCGGAAUUAUUGGGCGUAAAGAGCUCGUAGGCGGUGUGUCGCGUCGGCCGUGAAAACCUGCAGCUUAACUGUGGGCUUGCGGUCGAUACGGGCAUCACUGGAGUUCGGCAGGGGAGACUGGAAUUCCUGGUGUAGCGGUGAAAUGCGCAGAUAUCAGGAGGAACACCGGUGGCGAAGGCGGCUUGCUGGGCCAGUUCUGACGCUGGAGGAGCGAAAGCGUGGGGAGCGAACAGG